rnacentral:rRNA from 1 species
AUGAUGGUAAUCUCAUAUGGAUCGAUCACCUCUAAGAGGGUGAUGGCAUCACCGCUGGUUCCUGUCAUCAGUCAACCAAUCACCCUUCUGAUGAACAGGCAAGAUAGAAGAAUCACUUUCCGGCUAUUUGCCAUCAUUGCUCAGGUCCUGUGGAAGGCUCAAAACAAGGAGAAUGACAUGGGAAACUUAUACCUUCAAUGCAUACUACUCGAUCAACAUGGAACAAAGAUGGAAGCGAUUGCGUACAACAACCAAGCAAUUCGCUUCAAUAGCAUGCUGCAAACCGAUAUGACCUAUGAUUUCAACCGCGUUGGGUUCAACCCCACAGAAAUACCAGAUGGACAUUUUUGGUAUCUUGCCGUGGACUUUGUCAUCACACUAAGUGCUAGGACCGAGGUUAGGAUGUCGGCGCAGUGCAUAACGUCGAAAAUUUGCCCACCAUGCUUCCCACAGUUUGGAGACAUAUUCUCGCUACGGGACAAAAGCAUCACUGAAAGUUCAUCUAAUUUUGAUCUCGAGCUCAUGGAUAAUCCACCUGAUGGAGUCAGAGACAAACGUCCUAGCCUAAUCUCCAUCAUGCCCACGGAUCAAUGUGAAUUACUUGCCGGCCUCUACAACUACAUCAUGUCGAUCGAUGAUGCCAAGCAUCUGGAGUAA